rnacentral:rRNA from 1 species
AUACGUAGGGAGCAAGCGUUAUCCGGAUUUACUGGGUGUAAAGGGCGCGUAGGCGGGAGUAUAAGUCAGAUGUGAAAUCUGGGGGCUCAACCCCCAAACUGCAUUCGAAACUGUAUUUCUUGAGUGAUGGAGAGGCAAGUGGAAUUCCUAGUGUAGCGGUGAAAUGCGUAGAUAUUAGGAGGAACACCAAUGGCGAAGGCGACUUGCUGGACAUUAACUGACGCUGAGGCGCGAAAGCGUGGGGAGC